AGCGAACGCUGGCGGCAGGCUUAACACAUGCAAGUCGAGCGGGCACUUCGGUGUCAGCGGCAGACGGGUGAGUAACACGUGGGAACGUACCCUUUGGUUCGGAAUAACGCUGGGAAACUAGCGCUAAUACCGGAUACGCCCUUUUGGGGAAAGGCUUGCUGCCGAAGGAUCGGCCCGCGUCUGAUUAGCUAGUUGGUGGGGUAAUGGCCUACCAAGGCGACGAUCAGUAGCUGGUCUGAGAGGAUGAUCAGCCACACUGGGACUGAGACACGGCCCAGACUCGUACGGGAGGCAGCAGUGGGUAAUAUUGGACAAUGGGCGCAAGUCUGAUCCAGCCAUGCCGCGUGAGUGAUGAAGGCCUUAGGGUUGUAAAGCUCUUUUGUCCGGGACGAUAAUGACGGUACCGGAAGAAUAAGCCCCGGCUAACUUCGUG
rnacentral:rRNA from 1 species